rnacentral:rRNA from 1 species
UACGUAGGGUGCAAGCGUUGUCCGGAAUUAUUGGGCGUAAAGAGCUCGUAGGCGGUUUGUUGCGUCGGCUGUGAAAUCCCGAGGCUCAACCUCGGGUCUGCAGUCGAUACGAGCAAACUAGAGUGUUGCAGGGGAGACUGGAAUUCCUGGUGUAGCGGUGAAAUGCGCAGAUAUCAGGAGGAACACCAAUUGCGAAGGCAGCUCGCUGGGACGUAACUGACGCUGAGACGCGAAAGCGUGGGGAGCAAACAGG